UAGGGAAUCUUCCACAAUGGACGCAAGUCUGAUGGAGCAACGCCGCGUGAGUGAAGAAGGUUUUCGGACCGUAAAGCUCUGUUGUUGGUGAAGAAGGAUAGAGGUAGUAACUGGCCUUUAUUUGACGGUAAUCAACCAGAAAGUCACGGCUAACUACGUGCCAGCAGCCGCGGUAAUACGUAGGUGGCAAGCGUUGUCCGGAUUUAUUGGGCGUAAAGCGAGCGCAGGCGGAAGAAUAAGUCUGAUGUGAAAGCCCUCGGCUUAACCGAGGAAUUGCAUCGGAAACUGUUUUCUUGAGUGCAGAAGAGGAGAGUAGAACUCCAUGUGUAGCGGUGGAAUGCGUAGAUAUAUGGAAGAAUACCAGUGGCGCAGGCAGGCUGCUCUCGGUCUGCAACUGACGCUGAGGCUCGAAAGCAUGGGUAGCGAACAGGAUUAGAUACCCUGGUAGUCCAUGCCGUAAACGAUGAGUGCUAAGUGUUGGGAGGCUUCCGCCUCUCAGUGCUGCAGCUAACGCAUUAAGCACUCCGCCUGGGGGAGUACGACCGCA
rnacentral:rRNA from 1 species